CCAGAGCGCAGGCAGAAAAAGGAAAAACGUCGACUUGAGAAAAGCACAGCUUCCAAUCCCCACCCACCAGCUUCAGUCAAAGGGAUGACUUCAGUCCCUUUCUUAACUAAUCCUGUCACUGUAAAAUCCUACAGUCAUUCUUCCACACAUAAAGGGAAAACGGACUCACUAGGAGGACUUAGACACUUUCAGCUUGAACUGUUAGCCAAUGGUGGAAAUGCAAGAAUGCUGAAGUUGUGCCUUCGGAGCCAAUAGAGUGGAUUUGUGUGUCCCACAUGACUGUGUUUCCCCUGUCUUUCACAUGGGCAGUAUUUAGUUCAAUUCAGAACUGCAGAUAGUAUAGCGUGCAGAGCAGCAAUGGGAUGUCUGAGCACAAGUGGCUGACUUCCAGGCGACUUCAGGAAGCGCAUUUGUAAUAUUUCUCCUGAAUUAAACUGGGAUUCUGCACUCUUGACAUCAUCCGACCCUCCUUGUCUCUGUAGAAGGAGACAGCGACCUGCACAGCACAGCAAAACUACAAAUCACUGCAGAGCUGCAGACCAGCAAAGGAAGUGAACUGAGGGCAAUUUGACCGACAUCGUCUGUGUCAGCUCCCCAGAGGUUGAUGAAACAUGUUAUCAGGUCUCCAAGAUGAGCAGCCAGGUGCCAGCUGGUGUAAAGGCAGAUGCCACUGACGUCAAUGGAGCAGUGCCAGUUUACACUAGCUGAGAAUCUGAUCCCAAGUGUGUUAGAACCAUUUUUAGAUGCUGACACUGGAAUUCAUUUUUGCAACACAAUUAAAAAUACAUUCGUGCACUG